UGAACGCUAGCUACAGGCUUAACACAUGCAAGUCGAGGGGAAACGAUAUUGGAAGCUUGCUUCUGAUAGGCGUCGACCGGCGCACGGGUGAGUAACGCGUAUCCAACCUGCCCAUCACUUGGGGAUAACCUUGCGAAAGUAAGACUAAUACCCAAUGACGUCUCUAGAAGACAUCUGAAGGAGAUUAAAGAUUUAUCGGUGAUGGAUGGGGAUGCGUCUGAUUAGCUUGUUGGCGGGGUAACGGCCCACCAAGACUACGAUGGAUAGGGGUUCUGAGAGGAAGGUCCCCCACAUUGGAACUGAGACACGGUCCAAACUCCUACGGGAGGCAGCAGUGAGGAAUAUUGGUCAAUGGACGAGAGUCUGAACCAGCCAAGUAGCGUGAAGGAUGACUGCCCUAUGGGUUGUAAACUUCUUUUAUAUGGGAAUAAAGUAUUCCACGUGUGGAAUUUUGUAUGUACCAUAUGAAUAAGGAUCGGCUAACUCCGUG
rnacentral:rRNA from 1 species